CGCUUUGUCAUUCCAUAGGCUCACAGCCCUUACCUUAUCAGUCAUUGAAAUCGACCCAGUGUGUGGUUUCCAUCUCCUGACACCAUCUGUUCACUGAGAUGUGGUUGGAAAAGCCCUGUGAACAAGGUGACCUCAUAUAAAUGGCAGAAUCAGCUUGUCAGGACAGUAGAUCUGGCUCAGCAGUGAGGGCGAGCACUGCUCUUUCAAAAGACCUGAUUUUGAGAUGCAGCUCCCAUGUCAGGUGGUACAGCUGUCUCUAACGCCAGCUCUAAUGCGAUCUGAUGCCUCUACCCUCCACAAGCACCCACAACCACAUACACAUACCCACACAGACACACAAAUACAGAAA
ensembl:lncRNA LOC102551386 uncharacterized LOC102551386